CUGCUUCUGUGAUUUUUCCUGUUACUGACCCUUUGGGGAGAGUUAGUUCCUCUUUUAUGAACAAGGAAACUGGCUCAAAGGGGACAAGGGACGUGGAUGAAGUUGACGCAGGGAGGAAACUGGGGCAGGAACCCAGCCUAUUUACCACUCUCGGGCUCCACCUGGGAGCCCUGGGAUCAAUUCCUGCCUGUGAUUUGGCGGAGAGACCUCUGGUGGUGAAAGAGUUUACCAGACCCGGGUUCUACCCUCAGCUUUCCUAUUGUCUUGCUGUGUGGCCUUGGGUGCCUAACAUUCACUAUCAGUGCCAUCCCCAGAUACACAGAUUUCCUUGGGAGGAGGAGUUAACUGAGUCCCUGAAACUUCAGUGUGGAUGAUGAAGUUCUUGAAAGCUUUUCCCCUAAAAAGAGCUAUUUAGGGC